rnacentral:rRNA from 1 species
CCUACGGGAGGCAGCAGUGGGGAAUAUUGGGCAAUGGGCGCAAGCCUGACCCAGCAACGCCGCGUGAAGGAAGAAGGCUUUCGGGUUGUAAACUUCUUUUAAGGGGGACGAACAAAUGACGGUACCCCUUGAAUAAGCCACGGCCAACUACGUGCCAGCAGCCUCGGUAAUAAGUAGGUGGCAAGCGUUAUCCGGAUUUAUUGGGUGUAAAGGGCGUGUAGGCGGGAGCGCAAGGCAGAUGUGAAAACUCAGGGCUGAAACCUGGGCCUGCAUUUGAAACUGUGUUUCUUGAGUGCUGGAGAGGCAAGCGGAAUGCGGGGUGUAGCGGUGAAAUGCGUAGAUAUACGGAAGAACACCGGUGGCGAAGGCAGAUUGCUGGACAGUAACUGACGCUGAGGCGCGAAAGCGUGGGGAGCGAACAGGAUUAGAUACCCUUGUAGUC